CCUACGGGCGGCAGCAGUGGGGAAUAUUGGACAAUGGGCGAAAGCCUGAUCCAGCCAUGCCGCGUGUGUGAAGAAGGCCUUCGGGUUGUAAAGCACUUUCAGUGGGGAAGAAAGCCUUGGGGCUAAUACCCUCGAGGAAGGACAUCACCCACAGAAGAAGCACCGGCUAACUCCGUGCCAGCAGCCGCGGUAAUACGGAGGGUGCGAGCGUUAAUCGGAAUUACUGGGCGUAAAGCGCGCGUAGGCGGUCUGAUAAGCCGGGUGUGAAAGCCCCGGGCUCAACCUGGGAACGGCAUCCGGAACUGUCAGGCUAGAGUGCAGGAGAGGAAGGUAGAAUUCCCGGUGUAGCGGUGAAAUGCGUAGAGAUCGGGAGGAAUACCAGUGGCGAAGGCGGCCUUCUGGACUGACACUGACGCUGAGGUGCGAAAGCGUGGGUAGCAAACAGGAUUAGAUACCCCAGUAGUC
rnacentral:rRNA from 1 species